UCCCUGGAGGACCAGUGGUUAGGCCUUGGGGCUCUCACCUCCAUGGCCCGGGUUCCAAACCCAGCCACUGAG